UUACGACUGCCAAAGAACGCAUCCCUGCCAUCCUCAGCCGGAAUCCUCCGACGACCGAGUGCCCCUCCAACAACAAAAUUAUGUCGUCGAUCGAUUCAACACAAACAGUAAGAAGUUUAGAUACAAAUCAAAGGUUCUCCUCAAUACGAUUGAAAGUUCUACGAAUUGGACAUGAAAUAGUUUGUGGAAUUAACUUAAGUACAAGGGUGAAGAAAUUGAUACUUAUGGACAACGAGGGUGUCCAAAUUGGAGCAAUAAUGUUCAAUGGAGAUAUAGAUAAUUUUGUCCGAAAAUUUGAGGUGGAUAAAACCUAUUUAAUCUCUAAUGGAGAGGUUAGACAAGUUGAUGGGCGAUAUCCUAGCAUACAUCCUGAAAAAGAAUUGAUUCUCAAAAAGUACACUGUUGUGACCGAAACAUUUGAUAGUAUUGAUACGAAGAUACAAUACAAUUUUGUUGAGUUCAAGGAUAUAGAAUCAAAGUUUGACAAAAAAGAAGAUUUCGGUAAGAGCAUAUAUUUCAACAUCUAUAUUUCAAUUUUAUUAUUACUAAUUAGAACAUAUAUUUCAUGUAUAUCAUUUACAUC